UCCUAUACUAAUGGUGGUCUUCGAGCACAGUGGUUUGCAUUCAAGGUGUUUGUAAAAAUGCCUCAUACAAAUAGAAUUGAGGCUAGAGAUUACAAUCAUAUAAGGAGCCACUAUUUCAACGUAAAACUUUGUGAAUGUAAUCACACAAUUUGGUAGGGGAACCACAUCUUUCUUUAGUUGGGUUCAAACUUCGAUUUCACAAUUGAAUCAUUUGUUUAAAGAAGCUUUUGUCCCCAAUCUUGGUUGUUGGGUUAGAAAGUAAAAGUGACUGCCGUCACAAGAAAGUGAAAAUUCUUUGGCAAUGCGCGUCAUUGUUGAACCCACAUUGAUUGGGAAUAUACAAAUCACAACACAUGAUCGAUAACUAAAUCAGCUCCAUCCCCUGCAUUUUUUCAGUUGAUUUUCCGAAGGCAAUGUUUUCUAGGUGUUGAGAACACAAUGUAGAGUUUUGCUUCUUCUUUUUUUCAUAUCGCUUGGCUGAAUGCUUAUUUUCCCCUACUUUAUUUUCUAGGUAGUAGGGGCGCCGAGGUUCCAACUUCGAUUCAGGAAUUGUGUUUCCCUUCUAUUUUUUUCAUACGGCUUGGCUGAAUGAUUUUUUUCCCUUGCUUUCUUUUCUAGGUAGUAGGGGCGCCGAGGUUCCAACGUCAAUUCAGGAAUUGUGUUUCCCUUCUUUUUUCUAGGUAGUAGGUGGCUCAUUCAGUGAAGGUCUAAUUGUCAUUCCGAUUUUGGUUUAUUGACUUUGAAAAUCUUUUGUUUUCCAAAAUUGCAAGUUGCAGGUUAAUAGUGAUCUCUAGAUGAAUUCUUGGAUGGUCUACUUGCGAUUCUUUGGAUUUCAAGGUUUACAAAAGAGAAGUCUUAUAGUGAAAAUUAUGAGUAGAAUCAUACCUUUAUCGUUAGAGCCAAAGAAUUCAUUACCUUUGUUUAAUUUGUCUUUACUUGAGUUAAGCUUUCACAAAUAAGCUUGACCAUUAUGAGUUGACCGUAGAAGUUGAAGUUUAGGUUAAAAAAUUUCUUACCUGCUGGUGUCAAUUUUAAAUCAUAGAGACAUACUACUGCAAUGUUAUUUGGAAGUAUGGGUAGCUUUGAGGCAUGGAUGGAUAAAAGAAUUGUGCAGUGAGGGUCUCCCAACGGUGAGUUCAUCCGGAUCCAAGCAAGUCGAAGCCCAGCAAAAAGGAACUGAGCUUGCUCAGUCUAAACUUAGGUUGGCCCUGCUUCAAUAUGAACUUCCUUCAAUGAUCUUUGCACGCUGAUGCACCUCAUGGAAAAUGCUUCUGGUGAAGAUGAAUAUAAUGAAGAAAGAAGGGAGUACAAAAUCGUGUUCUUGAGGUGCCUCAAUAUUAAUUUUGUUCUUCAGUUACGAGGUUGGAUUAAUAUUUUGAUACAUAGCAUUUCAUUAGGAAGGUUUACUCCAUUAAUUGAAGUGUUUAAUUUUAUAUGUUUGCUUUGUUCCUCUUGGAGUAGACCUCUGUUGUUUGUUGUAGAAUUUUGCGGUGUUUGUUUUGAAAGUUGCAUGUAUUUUUACUUCACUAAAUAUUAGAUGGCAGAAUGCAAAAGACAGUAACUUUUAGAUUGUGAACUCCUAUAGUUUAUCACACGUUGCUAAGGACUCCUGAAGCCCUUUUUUUUUUAA